AUCGAACGCUGGCGGCAGGCUUAACACAUGCAAGUCGAGCGGAGAUGAGGUGCUUGCACCUUAUCUUAGCGGCGGACGGGUGAGUAAUGCUUAGGAAUCUGCCUAUUGGUGGGGGACAACAUUCCGAAAGGAAUGCUAAUACCGCAUACGUCCUACGGGAGAAAGCAGGGGAUCUUCGGACCUUGCGCUAAUAGAUGAGCCUAAGUCGGAUUAGCUAGUUGGUGGGGUAAAGGCCUACCAAGGCGACGAUCUGUAGCGGGUCUGAGAGGAUGAUCCGCCACACUGGGACUGAGACACGGCCCAGACUCCUACGGGAGGCAGCAGUGGGGAAUAUUGGACAAUGGGGGGAACCCUGAUCCAGCCAUGCCGCGUGUGUGAAGAAGGCCUUAUGGUUGUAAAGCACUUUAAGCGAGGAGGAGGCUACUGAGAUUAAUACUCUUGGAUAGUGGACGUUACUCGCAGAAUAAGCACCGGCUAACUCUGUGCCAGCAGCCGCCGUAA
rnacentral:rRNA from 1 species